rnacentral:rRNA from 1 species
GACGAACGCUGGCGGCGUGCUUAACACAUGCAAGUCGAACGGAAAGGCCCUGCUUUUGUGGGGUGCUCGAGUGGCGAACGGGUGAGUAACACGUGAGUAACCUGCCCUUGACUUUGGGAUAACUUCAGGAAACUGGGGCUAAUACCGGAUAGGAGCUCCUGCUGCAUGGGGGGGGUUGGAAAGUUUCGGCGGUUGGGGAUGGACUCGCGGCUUAUCAGCUUGUUGGGGGGGUAGUGGCUUACCAAGGCUUCGACGGGUAGCCGGCCUGAGAGGGUGACCGGCCACAUUGCGACUGAGAUACGGCCCAGACUCCUACGGGAGGCAGCAGUGGGGAAUAUUGCACAAUGGGCGGAAGCCUGAUGCAGCAACGCCGCGUGCGGGAUGACGGCCUUCGGGUUGUAAACCGCUUUCGACUGUGACGAAGCGUGAGUGACGGUAAUGGGUAAAGAAGCACCGGCUAACUACGUG